rnacentral:rRNA from 1 species
UACGUAGGGUGCGAGCGUUAAUCGGAAUUACUGGGCGUAAAGCGUGCGCAGGCGGUUUUGUAAGUCAGGGGUGAAAUCCCCGGGCUCAACCUGGGAAUGGCAUUUGGGACUGCAAGGCUGGAGUGCGGCAGAGGAGACUGGAAUUCCUGGUGUAGCAGUGAAAUGCGUAGAUAUCAGGAGGAACACCGAUGGCGAAGGCAGGUCUCUGGGCUGACACUGACGCUCAUGCACGAAAGCGUGGGGAGCAAACAGG